AGAGUUUGAUCCUGGCUCAGGACGAACGCUGGCGGCGCGCCUAACACAUGCAAGUCGAACGAGCGAGAGAGAGCUUGCUUUCCCGAGCGAGUGGCGAACGGGUGAGUAACGCGUGAGGAACCUGCCUCAAAGAGGGGGACAACAGUUGGAAACGACUGCUAAUACCGCAUAAGCCCACAGGUCGGCAUCGACCAGAGGGAAAAGGAGCAAUCCGCUUUGAGAUGGCCUCGCGUCCGAUUAGCUGGUUGGUGAGGUAAUGGCCCACCAAGGCGACGAUCGGUAGCCGGACUGAGAGGUUGAACGGCCACAUUGGGACUGAGACACGGCCCAGACUCCUACGGGAGGCAGCAGUGGGGAAUAUUGCACAAUGGGGGAAACCCUGAUGCAGCGACGCCGCGUGGAGGAAGAAGGUCUUCGGAUUGUAAACUCCUGUUGUUGAGGAAGAUAAUGACGGUACUCAACAAGGAAGUGACGGCUAACUACGUGCCAGCAGCCGCGGUAAAACGUAGGUCACAAGCGUUGUCCGGAAUUACUGGGUGUAAAGGGAGCGCAGGCGGGAAGACAAGUUGGAAGUGAAAUCUAUGGGCUCAACCCAUAACUGCUUUCAAAACUGUUUUUCUUGAGUAGUGCAGAGGUAGGCGGAAUUCCCGGUGUAGCGGUGGAAUGCGUAGAUAUCGGGAGGAACACCAGUGGGGAAGGCGGCCUACUGGGCACCAACUGACGCUGAGGCUCGAAAGUGUGGGUAGCANACAGGAUUAGAUACCCUGGUAGUCCACACCGUAAACGAUGAUUACUAGGUGUUGGAGGAUUGACCCCUUCAGUGCCGCAGCUAACAUAAUAAGUAAUCCACCUGGGGAGUACGACCGCAAGGUUGAAACUCAAAGGAAUUGACGGGGGCCCGCACAAGCAGUGGAGUAUGUGGUUUAAUUCGACGCAACGCGAAGAACCUUACCAAGUCUUGACAUCCCUUGACGAACAUAGAAAUAUGUUUUCUCUUCGGAGCAAGGAGACAGGUGGUGCAUGGUUGUCGUCAGCUCGUGUCGUGAGAUGUUGGGUUAAGUCCCGCAACGAGCGCAACCCUUACUGUCAGUUACUACGCAAGAGGACUCUGGCAGGACUGCCGUUGACAAAACGGAGGAAGGUGGGGAUGACGUCAAAUCAUCAUGCCCUUUAUGACUUGGGCUACACACGUACUACAAUGGCGUUAAACAAAGAGAAGCAAGACCGCGAGGUGGAGCAAAACUCAGAAACAACGUCCCAGUUCGGACUGCAGGCUGCAACUCGCCUGCACGAAGUCGGAAUUGCUAGUAAUCGUGGAUCAGCAUGCCACGGUGAAUACGUUCCCGGGCCUUGACACACCGCCCGUC
rnacentral:rRNA from 1 species